rnacentral:rRNA from 1 species
ACGCUCGACACCAACGGGAGGCGGCAGUGGGGAAUAUUGCACAAUGGGGGAAACCCUGAUGCAGCGACGCCGCGUGGAGGAAGAAGGUCUUCGGAUUGUAAACUCCUGUUGUUGGGGAAAAAGAGGAUGGUACCCAACAAGGAAGUGACGGCUAACUACGUGCCAGCAGCCGCGGUAAUCUGAGCGGGCUGGCAAGGC